GGCGGCCAUGAAGUGUGUCAUUGGGGGGGCGCACCUCAGAGUGUUUGGAAGAGCGAUUCAUGCCAUAGCACGUAUUAGCGAUGAGUUUUGGUUCGACCCCUUAGAGAAAGGUCUUGCCUUAAGGUCAGUGAAUUCUUCAAGGUCAGCAUAUGCAUAUGUGUUCUUCUCAUCUAUGUUUUUUCAACAUUACUGCUGGACUGCCCUGCCUCAGCCACGUCAGAAGGAAAAGCAGUUAUCUCCCCCCUGUAAAGUGAUAAUCAAGGCUGCUGGCUGAUAUCGUGAUUCACUUCCCGACCAGUCAAGAAGAAGUAACUUUAUCAGUUACACCGAUGAAAGUUUGCUUCAAGAGUUACACCGAGGAGGACACUGAUUUUUCAAAGACAAUGCUUACUGAAGUACAACUGAAUCCAGAUGAGUUUGACUACUUCCAAGUUGGAGUCGAUUCUGAAGUGACUUUUUGCCUUAAAGAAUUGAGGGUAAAGUAAGAAUUUGUCUUGAAAAUAGAACUUUUCCCAUUUACUUGCUUGACUUGACCAGGACAAUGUGGGAUAGCCCUGGAUGGGCUCCAUCAGGCCUCCUGACCAGAGGCACCAUUGCACCAGCUGGUCAAGGAUUAGGUUUAAAACCAGGAUCUUCUGGACACCGGGGAGUCCCUCACAGUAGCCUUUGAAAGGCAGCAGAACAUUUCAGACAACAAAACCAGGCAGGUACACUGUGACUGCACUGGGGCAGCAUUGUGGCCACAGAAGUUCUCCAUGUAGAAACUUCUUCGGCAAAGCCCCAGGCAGGGAUGGCACGAAAUGUGUUCUAGAAGCAGUUGACUUUUACCGUUUUUUGCCAGUAAACAACAUGUGGGAUAAACUUACAUUCUAAUGUUAAUCUUCUGGGUUUAAUGGUGCUCAACCACCCACCCCUUCUUUCCAGGGACUCCUGGCGUUUUCAGAAGCCACCAGUGUUCCUGUCUCCAUCCAUUUUGACAUCUCUGGAAAGUACGUUUGGGAACACACCUGGCUAGAACUGCUGCAGUUACACCUCGACACUCAGGUUUUGUCCACAGGUUACUCAAUAUUUAACGGGAACAAUAAAAGAGAUUUAAUUUUGUACCAAAAGCUCUAUUUCUAAUCUGUGAUACAGGUUAAAUAGUCUGUUAUUACACAAAAAGCGCUUAACAUAGGCACAGCAUUACUAAGCUGCCCAUGGUGACUAAUGAGCACCUAAAUAGAAGUCACCUGCAUGCUUCAGGCUCUCGGACUAAUCACGGAAUCAGACUUGUUUGGGUUAGAAGAGAUCUUAAAGCUCAUCCAGUUCCAACCCCCUGCCACGGGCAGGGACACCUUCCUCUAGACCAGGUUGCUCCAAGCCCCUGUGUCCAACCUGGUGAUUGGACCAACCUCAUUAAAAUAUAGACUGUUAUAUUUUACACUGAGAAAAUUCAUUAUACUGGAAAAGGAAAUACUCAAAUAAAUUGAGAACUUGCCUCCACUUCCAUGGACCAAGAUUCACACAGCUGUUACUGAGUGUUUCCUAACAGUGUGGGUAAGAAGUUACCCACAUCAGGGCAGAGGUAUGCUAAUGCAGGCAAUGGUUUUAUUUAGGAGUCUAAAGAAUAAGUUUUCUGUGUAAAAUAUAAUUUUAACUGUUAAAUAUCUAAAACUAAUUUGACUAAGUACAAUACUGUGUAGUGUAGCAUUUGCUCGUUGGUGCGUUUAAAUCUGCAACCAUCUUAUAUCCUUCAGCAGCAAAUACAUCACGUUUUCAGCUCUUCAGAGGAGGCUCGUUUUAAUCUUUAUGUCUAGAAUUGCACGAGCUGUUUCCUCCCACAACACGUGUAAUUACACACACUGGUUUAAGUCUCUGAAUAUCUGUGUUUAGACCAGUUGCUUUCAGCAUUGAGGAUCUGGUGCUGGAAGCCAGCUUUAUCUUGGCUACCUUGUCUGACAUUGAAAAGGAGACGACUUCCCAGCAGCCGCCCAGCUUUACACCGUGGCAGGAAAGGUAACGGUGGGCUGCAGGGAGGAUGGAAAAUUGAAGUUUAAGUGUUCCAGCCAAGCCAGAUGUAAGAUGAAAAGGAAUUGGCUCAUUCUUGCAGGGUACUGAGUCUUUGUUCAUAGGAAAACAGUGAAUUAGCCAGGUUCAGGAACACCUUAGGAGCAUUUACAGCAAUAAAACAGUGCAAGAGAGCACACUCUGUGCUAGCUUCUGUUUUCUUUUGUCUCCACAGGGUUAUUGCAGUAGGAGGGGAAGGGAAGGUACUUGUUGAGAAUCCAUUCUAAAGCCAUAAUGAUUUCACUAAUGGAAAACAGACAUACUAUACACAUAAAAGCCAGUUACUAACCUGACCUACUCUCUCCAAUCCAGCCUGGAGACACAUACAGAGAAAGCUGGAAACGCCUCCAUGGAUAAAGACAGCAGCACGCAGGCAAAUGCUUCCAAAAAGCCGCAGAGGAAUGGAAAGACCCCGAGCGCGGAGCCAGCGAAACCUGCGAGUCCUUUGGUAAAACAAGAGAGAAAAGUCAUUCCUGGAGCCACAGAGGGAGAUACAACAGGGGUAGAAGGAACAACCACAGCCCAUGCAGCACUGGCAGGAGAGUCUCACUACGAGAAGUUUCAUUCCUUGUUUUUCGGAGCAGUUUCCUGUAAGGAGGAUGCCGUCAGUCACACCUUCCAUAGUCUAGCGACAGCUAGCGACUCUGAAGAGGAUUUUGGCAACGUGCCGAGCUCCCCGGUCGUCUAGUGCCAUGAAGCGUUUGAACCUAAAGACUAUUGGGGGUUGCCUUGAAAGAUGAAAGAGUGGUUGAUGGGGUAACAGUGGAGCUGUUUCUGGUUCUAGAAAGUUCAGCUGCUGUUCUGCAAGUGAGAACUUGAUGAAAACUCUUUGUGUUCUGAGCUGUUGUGGUAAACAGCACUUUAUGAAGAACUAUUUGGAGUCUGGGAAGUGGAAAUGCCCCUCAAAUGGUGCCUGUUUGUUUUUUUUGCAGGACAGAUACGUGGAAAAGGACAGAACUCAACUCAAUACUGAGUACUUUGUCAGUUAAGAGUUUACUCACUGGUCACGUUAACCACCAGCACAGAUCAUCCUAAACCGUUACCUGCUGUUCUAGUGUAAAUUUAGGUCACGACUGACCAGGUUGGGGUUCGUUACGUGCUGUGUAGGAACAGCUUUGCCUGUUCAGCGCAUGUUCCUAAUGGAGAACUCACCACUUGAGGCUGGUUAAGCUGCUGUUGUAAAGUUGAGUGCUGGAAAAACAAACCCAUCCUCUCACUCCAGCAGUGCCGGACACGCCACUGCUGGGGAAGAGCCGGUGCUUUUACAGGAUUGGUGUAGAACCGGCAUUUCCCUGGGUAAGUAACGUUGUAGGAAUGCAUCUGAACCAAUAAAGGGGAUGUUCAAGUG